rnacentral:rRNA from 1 species
GAUGAACGCUGGCGGCGUGCCUAAUACAUGCAAGUCGAGCGAACGGACGAGAAGCUUGCUUCUCUGAUGUUAGCGGCGGACGGGUGAGUAACACGUGGAUAACCUACCUAUAAGACUGGGAUAACGUCGGGAAACCGGAGCUAAUACCGGAUAAUAUUUUGAAACGCAUGGUUCAAAAGUGAAAGACGGUCUUGCUGUCACUUAUAGAUGGAUCCACGCUGCAUUAGUGAGUUGGUAAGGUAACGGCUUACCAAGGCAACGAUGCAUAGCCGACCUGAGAGGGUGACCGGCCACACUGGAACUGAGACACGGUCCAGACUCCUACGGGAGGCAGCAGUAGGGAAUCUUCCGCAAUGGGCGAAAGCCUGACGGAGCAACGCCGCGUGAGUGAUGAAGGUCUUCGGAUCGUAAAACUCUGUUAUUAGGGAAGAACAUAUGUGUAAGUAACUGUGCACAUCUUGACGGUACCUAAUCAGAAAGCCACGGCUAACUACGUG